GGUUCGAUCAUGGCUCAGAUUGAACGCUGGCGGGAUGCUUUACACAUGCAAGUCGAACGGCAGCACGGACUUCGGUCUGGUGGCAGUGGCGAACGGGUGAGUAAUGUAUCGGAACGUGCCUAGUAGCGGGGAUAACUACGCGAAAGCGUAGCUAAUACCGCAUACGCCCUUCGAAGGAAAGCAGGGGACCUUCGGGCCUCGCACUAUUAGAGCGGCCGAUAUCGGAUUAGCUAGUUGGUGGGGUAACGGCUCACCAAGGGCGACGAUCCGUAGCUGGUUUGAGAGGACGACCAGCCACACUGGGACUGAGACACGGCCCAGACUCCUACGGGAGGCGGCAGUGGGGAAUUUUUGGACAAUGGGGAAACCCUGAUCCAGCCAUCCGCGUGUGCGAUGAAGGCCUUCGGGUUGUAAACGCGCAGCAGGGAAAAAAACGGCACGGGAUAAUACGUGCAACUGACAGUACCUGCAGAAUAAGCACCGGCUAACUACGUGCCAACAGCCGCGGUAAUACGUAAGUGCAAGCGUUAAUCGGAAUUACUGGGCGUAAAGCGUGCGCGAGCGGUUCGGAAAGAAAGAUGUGAAAUCCCAGGCUUAACUUUGGAACUGCAUUUUUAACUACCGAGCUAGAGAGUGUGUCAGAGGAGGUGGAAUUCCGCGUGUGGCAGUGAAAUGCGUAGAUAUGCGGAGGAACACCGAUGGCGAAGGCAGUCUCCUGGGAUAACAUGACGCUCAUGCACGAAAGCGUGGGAGCAAACGGGAUUAGAUACCCUGGUAGUCCACGCCCUAAACGAUAUCAACUAGCUGUUGGGGCCUUCGGGCCUUGGUAGCGCAGCUAACGCGUGAAGUUGACCGCCUGGGGAAUACCAGUCGCAAGAUUAAAACUCAAAGGAAUUGACGGGGACCCGCACAAGCGGUGGAUGAUGUGGAUUAAUUCGAUGCAACGCGAAAAACCUACCGCUUGACAUGUCUGGAAUCCCGAAGAGAUUUGGGAGUGCUCGCAAGAGAACCGGAACACAGGUGCUGCAUGGCUGUCGUCAGCUCGUGUCGUGAGAUGUUGGGUUAAGUCCCACCCAACGAGCGCAACCCUUGUCAUUAGUUGCUACGAAAGGGCACUCUAAUGAGACUGCCGGUGACAAACCGGAGGAAGGUGCAGGGAUGACGUCAUGAUCCUCGUGGCCCUUAUGGGUAGGGCUUCACACGUCAUACAAUGGUCAGGUUGAAGGGGUCGCCAACCCGCGAGAGAACCAAUCCCAGAAACCCGAUCGUAGUCCGGAUCGCAGUCUGCAACUCGACUGCGUGAAGUCGAAUCGCUAGUAAUCGCGGAUCAGCAUGUCGCGGUGAAUACGUUCCCGGGUCUUGUACACACCGCCCGUCACACCAUGGGAGUGGGUUUUACCGAAGUAGUUAGCCUAACCGUAAGGAGGGCGAUUACCACGAGUAGGAUUCAUGACUGGGGUGAAGUCAUG
rnacentral:rRNA from 1 species